rnacentral:rRNA from 1 species
GAAGAACGCUGGCGGCGUGCUUAACACAUGCAAGUCGAACGAAGUGGCGAACGGGUGAGUAACGCGUAAUCAACCUGCCCUUCAGAGGGGGAGAAAAGGUGGAGAAGACUGCUAAAACACCAGACUGUUGCAGGGGAUUGUGUCGGAUUAGCUUGCUGGAGGGGGAACGGGCCACCAAGGCGAUGAUGAGUAGGCGGUGGGAGAGGAAGAACGGCGACACUGGGACUGAGACUCGGCCCAGACCCAUACGGGAGGCAGCAGGGGGGGUUCGUCCGCAAUGGAAGAGAGUCUGACGGAGCAACGCCGUGGGAGUGAGGACGGUGUUCGGGUUGUAAAGCUCUGUUAAUCGGGACGCGGUACCGGAAUAGAAAGCCACGGCUAACUACGUGCCAGCAGCCGCGGUAAUUC